CACUCUACAUAAAAGAUCGGACACCCAUCGAUGGGUUCAGUCAGAAAUCUCGGUCUGCAGGAGACUUUGCGGAAACCUCCUGAGAAACCGGUCGCCCACUGCAGCUGUUGAGCAUCAGAAUGCGAAUCGAGAGCGUGUCCUUUGUGGAAUGAAGCUGUUCUGCGCUUCACCGAGGGCAGGUUUGACGACUCCCUGUCAUGUCUGGAAAAAAUUACAGAGCCAACGGCAAAGAUUUUUUUUGACAUUGGUUGUAUACAUCUUUGUCAAGGUUCACCUAAUAAAGCGCUGGAGAGUUUUACGAAGACAGUUCAAAAGGACGAACACCUGGCGGUGGGGCAUUUUCAGCAUGGUGUGGCUGCUUUCAAAGUGAACAGGAUUUCCAGUGCUCUGGACAGUUUUCAGAAGGCCUACUUUUACCUGCGGGGUCAUGCUGUGAUAGAUUACAGACAGCUGGGAUUAAACAUAAAGCUUUAUGCCAUGCAGGUGCUGUUAAACCUGGCGUUAUGUUGGUGUAGACGAGAUAAGACAAAGGCCUUAAAAUGGCUGAAAGAUGCAGAAUCUUUAGAUGGUACCCCAGGUUUGAAGUCUGAAGUGUCCAGGGCUCUAAUGGCUGUGCAG